UACGGGGGGGGCAAGCGUUGUUCGGAAUUACUGGGCGUAAAGGGCUCGUAGGUGGCCAACUAAGUCAGACGUGAAAUCCCUCGGCUUAACCGGGGAACUGCGUCUGAUACUGGAUGGCUUGAGUUUGGGAGAGGGACGCGGAAUUCCAGGUGUAGCGGUGAAAUGCGUAGAUAUCUGGAGGAACACCGGUGGCGAAGGCGGGUCUACUGGGCCGAAAUUGACGCUGAGGAGCGAAAGCGUGGGGAGCAAACAGG
rnacentral:rRNA from 1 species